UAACUUGUGCCAGCCAAGCGUUCAAAAUAACGUUGCUUCAGAUCUGUCCAUGACGACACUUUCUAUCAUAUUGAAGCAGAAUUCAGUAUGCGUUAGAAUGGUCACCUAGCUAACGGGAACGUGAGUGGAAGCGGAAAGC
rnacentral:ncRNA from 1 species